rfam:Capsicum annuum cultivar Zunla-1 chromosome 9, whole genome shotgun sequence
AGACCAUUGAUGAUGUAGACAGUCCCGAAGAAGAGCCUUGAAUCGCUCCCAAGCAUGAUAAAAAUUCUCUUCUAGUUUUUGUUUAAAGCACACUAUCUCACUGCGAAGUCU